UGUUGGGUAGGGGAGCGUUCUGUAAGCCUGUGAAGGUGGCCUGUGAGGGUUGCUGGAGGUAUCAGAAGUGCGAAUGCUGACAUAAGUAACGAUAAAGCGGGUGAAAAGCCCGCUCGCCGGAAGACCAAGGGUUCCUGUCCAACGUUAAUCGGGGCAGGGUGAGUCGACCCCUAAGGCGAGGCCGAAAGGCGUAGUCGAUGGGAAACGGGUUAAUAUUCCCGUACUUGGUGUUACUGCGAAGGGGGGACGGAGAAGGCUAUGUUGGCCGGGCGACGGUUGUCCCGGUUUAAGCGUGUAGGUGUGUGUUCCAGGUAAAUCCGGUUCACUUUAACACUGAGGCGUGACGACGAGGCACUACGGUGCUGAAGCAACAAAUGCCCUGCUUCCAGGAAAAGCCUCUAAGCAUCAGGUAACAUCAAAUCGUACCCCAAACCGACACAGGUGGUCAGGUAGAGAAUACCAAGGCGCUUGAGAGAACUCGGGUGAAGGAACUAGGCAAAAUGGUGCCGUAACUUCGGGAGAAGGCACGCUGACACGUAGGUGAAGUGAUUUACUCACGGAGCUGAAGUCAGUCGAAGAUACCAGCUGGCUGCAACUGUUUAUUAAAAACACAGCACUGUGCAAACACGAAAGUGGACGUAUACGGUGUGACGCCUGCCCGGUGCCGGAAGGUUAAUUGAUGGGGUCAGCGCAAGCGAAGCUCCUGAUCGAAGCCCCGGUAAACGGCGGCCGUAACUAUAACGGUCCUAAGGUAGCGAAAUUCCUUGUCGGGUAAGUUCCGACCUGCACGAAUGGCGUAAUGAUGGCCAGGCUGUCUCCACCCGAGACUCAGUGAAAUUGAACUCGCUGUGAAGAUGCAGUGUACCCGCGGCAAGACGGAAAGACCCCGUGAACCUUUACUAUAGCUUGACACUGAACAUUGAGCCUUGAUGUGUAGGAUAGGUGGGAGGCUUUGAAGUGUGGACGCCAGUCUGCAUGGAGCCGACCUUGAAAUACCACCCUUUAAUGUUUGAUGUUCUAACGUGGACCCGUUACCCGGGUUGCGGACAGUGUCUGGUGGGUAGUUUGACUGGGGCGGUCUCCUCCUAAAGAGUAACGGAGGAGCACGAAGGUUGGCUAAUCCUGGUCGGACAUCAGGAGGUUAGUGCAAUGGCAUAAGCCAGCUUGACUGCGAGCGUGACGGCGCGAGCAGGUGCGAAAGCAGGUCAUAGUGAUCCGGUGGUUCUGAAUGGAAGGGCCAUCGCUCAACGGAUAAAAGGUACUCCGGGGAUAACAGGCUGAUACCGCCCAAGAGUUCAUAUCGACGGCGGUGUUUGGCACCUCGAUGUCGGCUCAUCACAUCCUGGGGCUGAAGUAGGUCCCAAGGGUAUGGCUGUUCGCCAUUUAAAGUGGUACGCGAGCUGGGUUUAGAACGUCGUGAGACAGUUCGGUCCCUAUCUGCCGUGGGCGCUGGAGAACUGAGGGGGGCUGCUCCUAGUACGAGAGGACCGGAGUGGACGCAUCACUGGUGUUCGGGUUGUCAUGCCAAUGGCACUGCCCGGUAGCUAAAUGCGGAAGAGAUAAGUGCUGAAAGCAUCUAAGCACGAAACUUGCCCCGA
rnacentral:rRNA from 1 species